rnacentral:misc_RNA from 1 species
UUUUUUUUUGUCAAUUUUUUUUUCUUUUU